UGACCGCUGGCGGCGUGCCUAAUACAUGCAAGUCGAGCGAACAGACGAGGAGCUUGCUCCUCUGACGUUAGCGGCGGACGGGUGAGUAACACGUGGAUAACCUACCUAUAAGACUGGGAUAACUUCGGGAAACCGGAGCUAAUACCGGAUAAUAUAUUGAACCGCAUGGUUCAAUAGUGAAAGACGGUUUUGCUGUCACUUAUAGAUGGAUCCGCGCCGCAUUAGCUAGUUGGUAAGGUAACGGCUUACCAAGGCGACGAUGCGUAGCCGACCUGAGAGGGUGAUCGGCCACACUGGAACUGAGACACGGUCCAGACUCCUACGGGAGGCAGCAGUAGGGAAUCUUCCGCAAUGGGCGAAAGCCUGACGGAGCAACGCCGCGUGAGUGAUGAAGGUCUUCGGAUCGUAAAACUCUGCUAUUAGGGAAGAACAAAUGUGUAAGUAACUAUGCACGUCUUGACGGUACCUAAUCAGAAAGCCACGGCUAACUACGUG
rnacentral:rRNA from 1 species